GAUGGCAUAAUGGUUAGAGCGUCCGCCUCCGAUGCGGGAGGUCGUGGGUUCGAAAGCCGGCCAAGUCA